rnacentral:rRNA from 1 species
GAUGAACGCUGGCGGCGCGCCUAAUACAUGCAAGUCGAGCGAACUGACGAGGAGCUUGCUCCUCUGACGUUAGCGGCGGACGGGUGAGUAACACGUGGAUAACCUACCUAUAAGACUGGGAUAACUUCGGGAAACCGGAGCUAAUACCGGAUAAUAUAUUGAACCGCAUGGUUCAAUAGUGAAAGACGGUUUUGCUGUCACUUAUAGAUGGAUCCGCGCCGCAUUAGCUAGUUGGUAAGGUAACGGCUUACCAAGGCGACGAUGCGUAGCCGACCUGAGAGGGUGAUCGGCCACACUGGAACUGAGACACGGUCCAGACUCCUACGGGAGGCAGCAGUAGGGAAUCUUCCGCAAUGGGCGAAAGCCUGACGGAGCAACGCCGCGUGAGUGAUGAAGGUCUUCGGAUCGUAAAACUCUGUUAUUAGGGAAGAACAAAUGUGUAAGUAACUAUGCACGUCUUGACGGUACCUAAUCAGAAAGCCACGGCUAACUACGUG